CCUACGGGAGGCAGCAGUGGGGGAUAUUGCACAAUGGGCGGAACCCUGAUGCAGCGACGCCGCGUGGGUGAAGAAGCGCCUCGGCGCGUAAAGCCCUGUCAGCAGGGAAGAAAAUGACGGUACCUGAAGAAGAAGCACCGGCUAACUACGUGCCAGCAGCCGCGGUAAUACGUAGGGGGCAAGCGUUAUCCGGAUUUAAUGGGGGUGAAGGGGGCGCAGACGGCGAUGCAAGCCAGGAGUGAAAGCGCGGGGCCCAACCCCGGGACUGCUCUUGGAACUGCGUGGCUGGAGUGCAGGAGUGGCAGGCGGAAUUCCUGGUGUAUCGGUGAAAUGCGUAGAUAUCAGGAGGAACACCGGUGGCGAAGGCGGCCUGCUGGACUGCAACUGACGUUGAGGCCCGAAAGCGUGGGGAGCAAACAGGAUUAGAUACCCGGGUAGUC
rnacentral:rRNA from 1 species